rnacentral:rRNA from 1 species
AUUGAACGCUGGCGGCACGCCUAACACAUGCAAGACGAGCGGUAACAUGAUUUGUAGCAAUACAAAUUGAUGACGAGCGGCGGACGGGUGAGGAACACGUAGGAAUCUGCCCAGAAGCGGGGGACAACCAAGGGAAACUUUGGCUAAUACCGCGUAAUCUCGCAAGAGUAAAGCUGCCCGCAAGGGUGGCGCUUCUGGAGGAGCCUGCGUCCGAUUAGCUAGUUGGUGAGGUAAGAGCUCACCAAGGCGAUGAUCGGUAACUGGUCUGAGAGGACGACCAGUCACACUGGGACUGAGACACGGCCCAGACUCCUACGGGAGGCAGCAGUGGGGAAUAUUGGACAAUGGGGGCAACCCUGAUCCAGCGAUGCCGCGUGGGUGAAGAAGGCCUUCGGGUUGUAAAGCCCUUUAGGUUGGGAAGAAGUGUACGGGGCGAAUAACCCCGUAUGUUGACGGUACCGACAAAAUAAGCACCGGCAAACUCUGUGCCAGCAGCCGCCGUAA